rnacentral:rRNA from 1 species
GAUGAACGCUGGCGGCGUGCUUAACACAUGCAAGUCGAACGGGGAAUACUUUAACAGAGACUUCGGUUGAAGUUGCUGUAUUCCUAGUGGCGGACGGGUGAGUAACGCGUGGGUAACCUGCCUCACACUGGGGGAUAACAGUCAGAAAUGACUGCUAAUACCGCAUAAGCGCACAGCAUCGCAUGAUGCAGUGUGAAAAACUCCGGUGGUGUGAGAUGGACCCGCGUUGGAUUAGCUAGUUGGCAGGGCAGCGGCCUACCAAGGCGACGAUCCAUAGCCGGCCUGAGAGGGUGAACGGCCACAUUGGGACUGAGACACGGCCAG